AUGCUGCCGCACGCGCCGUCCCGUUACCCUGGCACCGCCAAGUUCAAACCCCUCGUCCCCGCCAAACCGCCCCUCUCUCCCGCGUCCUCCCCGUCGUCCCGCGGGAGCCUCUGCGCCGCCGCCGCCUCACGCCGCGACUUCCUCCUGCUCGUCCCGUCCCUGGCCGCGGCGUCCACGGCCCUCCAGUACCUCCCCCUCGCGGCCUCCGCCGCGGACGACGAGAAGCCGGCCCCGCCACCACCGCCCGCUCCGGCCCCGGCCCCAGCGGAGGAGCCCAACGGGGAGGCGGCCCUGUCGAGGAUGUACGACGCCACGGUCAUCGGCGAGCCGCAGGCCGUGGGCAAGGACGCGCGCGGGAGGGUGUGGGAGAAGCUCAUGGCCGCGCGGGUCGUCUACCUCGGGGAGGCCGAGCUCGUGCCCGACCGCGACGACCGGCUGCUCGAGCUCGAGAUCGUCCGGAAGCUGGCCGCUCGCUGCGCCGACGCCGGGAGGACCCUCUCGCUCUCGCUCGAGGCCUUCCCCUGCGACCUCCAGGAGCAGCUCAACCAGUUCAUGGACGGGAGAAUUGACGGCAACAGCUUAAGGCUGUACACAUCUCACUGGGCACCGGAGCGCUGGCAGGAGUAUGAACCUCUUUUAAACUACUGCCGUGAUAAUGGAAUCAAGCUUAUUGCAUGUGGAACUCCACUUGAGGUGGUAAGAACUGUCCAAGCAGAAGGAAUCAAAGGCCUUUCAAAAGAGCAGAGGAAGUUGUAUGCUCCUCCAGCUGGCUCAGGCUUCAUUUCUGGCUUUACAUCCAUCUCAGGCCGAUCAUUGAUAGACAAGACUUCAUCCUCUCGUGUCUCUCCUUUUGGCCCUAGCUCAUAUCUAUCUGCACAGGCAAGAGUAGUUGAUGAUUAUACCAUGUCCCAAAUAAUAGUGAAGGAAAUUAGUACUGGAGAUCCUUCAGGGAUGCUCGUUGUUGUAACUGGUGCAAGCCAUGUUAUGUAUGGGUCACGAGGAAUUGGUGUUCCUGCCAGAAUAUCUAAAAAGAUGCAAAAGAAAAAGCAAGUUGUGAUCCUUCUUGAUCCUGAGAGGCAAGGUAUAAGGCGAGAAGGUGAAAUCCCAGUAGCGGAUUUAUUGUGGUAUUCUGCUGCCAAGCCAUGCAGUCGAAAUUGCUUUGACCGUGCUGAAAUCGCUAGAGUUAUGAAUGCAGCUGGUAGGAGGCGUGAAGCUCUGCCCCAGGAUAUUCAGAAAGGAAUAGAUCUUGGUGUAGUUUCUCCUGAGAUAUUGCAGAACUUUUUUGACCUUGAGAAAUACCCUGUCGUGGAUGAAUUGAUUCACCGAUUCCAAGGUUUCCGUGAAAGGUUACUGGCAGAUCCCCAAUUCUUGAAUAGAUUAGCUAUCGAAGAGGGUAUAUCAAUAACUACAGCUGUCUUAGCACAAUAUGAAAAACGGAAAGGACGGUUUUUUGAAGAGAUCGACUAUGUCCUUACUGAUACAAUUAGAGGUUCUGUUGUUGACUUUUUUACAGUCUGGCUUCCUGCUCCUACUAUUUCGCUCUUAUCUAUUGCUGACAAUGGUUCUGGUGAGAGCUUGGAGCUUGUCAGAGGAUUGUUAGGGUCACUGCCAGAUAAUGCAUUUCAAAAGGGUAUCGUGGGCCAGAAUUGGGACAUGAACCAGAGAUUUGCAUCGGUACUAGUGGGUGGUCUGAAACUUGCUGGUGUUGGAUUUGUUUCCAGUAUUGGAGCUGGAGUUGCUUCGGAUGUUUUGUAUGCUGCUCGUCGAGUUUUGAGUCCUACAAGUAUAGAGGCAGAACGCCCAAGAGCUCCCAUUUGGAAAGCAGCUUCUGUGUAUAGUGGCUUCCUUGGAACAUCAGCAAAUCUGCGGUAUCAGGUCAUUGCUGGUCUAGUGGAGCACCGGCUUGGAGAGUAUCUUGUGUCAUACUAUAAUCAGCCAAUUCUUGCUAACGUGCUGUCCUUUGUUGCACGGAUAAUCAAUUCAUACUUUGGAACACAGCAAUGGAUUGAUCUUGCGCGAUCUACAGGCAUCCAAACUAGUGAGGAAGAGCCACCUUCUCCUGACACUCCCAUCUCAUCAGAAAUACCAGUGUUAGAAUGUGGCACGGCAGAAGUACCAAGUACAGACGAUAUUAAUAAGAACCAAUCAGGUGAGCAGACAUAG
rnacentral:rRNA from 1 species